UUCCAUCAAAUUUUAACUGAAUUUACUUAAACUAAUCGAUCAACCCAUCCGUUCAAAAUUGUCAAAAUCAUUGUCAUUCAUGCAUAUCCAUUACCAAACAAGAUCAAUAAACAAGAAACAAAAACAACAAAAGUCGAAAAACAAAUAAGAAAAAAUGUUUUAAAGAAAAAGAAGAUUUUUGUUGUUGUUGUUGUUGUUGUUUUUGGAAAACCCGUGAAAUCUCACUUGGAGCCAGAAAAAAAGUCGUUUUUUUUUACUAAUUUCUCCCUCAUCAAAGCAAUUUACUAAUUGCUAUUUUUUUUUUGUUUUUAUUAAUUUGAAUGUCACCAUUCAUCCAUUCCAUUUAAUCAUAAAUCAAAUUAUCAAUCAAAAAAAAAAAAA